AGGCAGCAUUUUAUUGAUAGCUCGUGACAGUUAAGCUCAUAAGGAGUAAUGUCAAGAAGCAACUGUGGGGGCGCCACGGUAUCACAACGUCAUUCGAAGGGGCCGGGUGCAGCAUUCCUGCGAAAAAUUUAUUGGGCAUUUACCAACUGAUUUACGCCUGUUCCAGCCAUCCAUCUCUUCCUAGACGGCCCCGAUAGUUAUAAGCUUGACGACGAUAUGCCUAGAACCUCGCGCGCGUUACCCUGCAGGCCCCCGCCUGCCCCAUGGCUGUUUCUCCGUGAAUAUGCUGAAAGAUUUAAAUGUCCAGCAGAUAUCUCAGCUGAUAGCUAGACAGGAUAACAAUUUACCGACAAUCUUUAAAAAACAAAAAAACUUUCCGUCCUUGCACGUAUUCCAGUAACGAGCGCUCUCUGUGAGAAGCACCCGCAGUAGAUCGCACAUGCAGCCCUAGCUAGGCUACAAGACAGUACAAAAGGCGAGGGUAAACG
rnacentral:lncRNA from 1 species